rnacentral:rRNA from 1 species
AUUGAACGCUGGCGGCAGGCCUAACACAUGCAAGUCGAGCGGAUGAAGGGAGCUUGCUCCUGGAUGCAGCGGCGGACGGGUGAGUAAUGCCUAGGAAUCUGCCUGGUAGUGGGGGAUAACGUCCGGAAACGGGCGCUAAUACCGCAUACGUCCUGAGGGAGAAAGUGGGGGAUCUUCGGACCUCACGCUAUCAGAUGAGCCUAGGUCGGAUUAGCUAGUUGGUGGGGUAAAGGCCUACCAAGGCGACGAUCCGUAACUGGUCUGAGAGGAUGAUCAGUCACACUGGAACUGAGACACGGUCCAGACUCCUACGGGAGGCAGCAGUCGGGAAUAUUGGACAAUGGGCGAGAGCCUGAUCCAGCCAUGCCGCGUGUGUGAAGAAGGUCUUCGGAUUGUAAAGCACUUUAAGUUGGGAGGAAGGGCAGUAAGUUAAUACCUUGCUGUUUUGACGUUACCAACAGAAUAAGCACCGGCUAACUUCGUG